UACGUAGGGCGCAAGCGUUAUCCGGAAUUAUUGGGCGUAAAGAGCUCGUAGGCGGUUUGUCGCGUCUGGCGUGAAAGUCCGGGGCUCAACUCCGGAUCUGCGGUGGGUACGGGCAGACUAGAGUGAUGUAGGGGAGACUGGAAUUCCUGGUGUAGCGGCGAAAUGCGCAGAUAUCAGGAGGAACACCGAUGGCGAAGGCAGGUCUCUGGGCAUUAACUGACGCUGAGGAGCGAAAGCAUGGGGAGCGAACAGG
rnacentral:rRNA from 1 species